CUGCGGCCCGGUUCAAGUAAUCCAGGAUAGGCUGGUUCCUGCCAGCACGGCCUAUUCUUGAUUACUUGUUUCGGGAAGCAG
rfam:Scleropages formosus scaffold2482, whole genome shotgun sequence.